CCCAACUCUUUACAAAAAGAGCCACAAGGAAUUGUUUUAGUUAGUAGAAGCAUACGACAUUGGAAUGAAUAAGUAAAGCCUUGAGAAAAUGAAUCGGAAACAAUUUUUUCCAUGUCUUUUUAUUCGCUUAAAUUACCUCCAAGGCUUUGUGCGUAGUUAAUGUAAAAUCUUUGGCGCAGUAUUGUUUUGUUUUUGUUGCCUGACGCUCGCAUUCAAAUUGUCGAGGGAUGAACAAAUUCACACGUGAAUGUUGGAGUUAAUGUGUUUGUUGGAUGUAACAGAGCCGUUGGUGUUUUGUUGGAGCUGUGCCUCUGCUUGGACAUGGAAACAUCUUGUUGACAACCAUCUGCUCCAGCAACUACUACUGUACUCAUCUCUGCAUUAAGCAUUUGUGGAGCACCUCAGGGUGACAAGCUUCUGCCGUAAUUACCAUAAACGCCUCGGAUGUGAAGCCAUCUACACACUGCUACCACUUUGUUAGUGUUCUGGGGUGUGGCAAACCUGUAUUAAAACAGCGCCUAACAUAAUUAUAUGCCCUGUGGGAAUAAAAAUGCAGUGUUAAGGCAAAGGAGCACAGUUCUGGGCUGUAUGACCUAGGUACAGCCUGUGCUCUAGCUUUCGCAGUUUGUCGCUGCAGCAAGUCUCUCUGCAUUCCAGUUCAUCACUUUCAGAGGAUGUCUGACUACGUUCUGGUGGUCCUGCAGUGUGCUCAGGAACAAGAGCAGGAACUACUUCAUCCUGCACUCUGCUGACGGUAGCCAAAACUGAAGAUGGAAAAGAAGAGCUCUCCUUCCGCAAUGGUGCUUUCUCUUCUUAUCUCCCUAAACGAAAUAAACAGAUGGAAAACAUUAAGAACUGCUUUUAACAGAUGGUUGAAGGUGUUACAGUCUUUGUCAUGAACAGCAUGUUACAGCCCACUAAUUACUCCUAUUCUUAGUCCUUUCCAGAAAUAUAAAUUCUAUUUUUCCAGCAACUAUUUACCUUGUUCAUAAAAUACUCAUUACUCUAACAGAAACCAUUGUUGUUUUCAGCAGACAACUUGAAAUGCCUCCCAUGUACGAAGCUACAAUUAAUACACACUUAUUGAAAAAAUAUAAACUCUUAACAUGUAAAAUAUUUCUGCUGGGGUGUCUUGUUUAACUAUCACACUGUAUUGCUAUGAGUGCUGUCAGUUAACAAGUUCUCAAUACAACUGGUCCAACAGUUAAUGAUAUAAAAUUGUGUGUUAUAUCUAAUUUUGCACUAGUGGUUGGUGCAUAUUGAAUGUUCCACAGUAGUGGAUAAUGUUAACAAAAAGGUAGUGCCAAACCUUUUUAAUCAAUAAUGAUAUCUUUCAA